rnacentral:misc_RNA from 1 species
UUGAGGUGGCUAGGCGAGCAGCCGCCUGGAUCUGUUCUGUACGUGUCAUUUGGAAGCGGUGGGACCCUCUCUUACAAUCAGAUAAAUGAAUUGGCUUUGGGUUUAGAAAUGAGCCAGCAAAGAUUUUUGUGGGUUGUGAGGAGCCCAAAUGACAGCGUCGCCAAUGCCACAUUUUUUAGUGUGCAAAGCGAAAAAGACCCUCGUGAUUUCCUACCAAAAGGGUUCUUGGAUAGGACGAAAGGGCGGGGUCUAGUGGUGCCAUCAUGGGCACCACAGGCACAAGUGUUGAGUCACGGGUCUACAGGAGGGUUCUU